rnacentral:tRNA from 1 species
GCCUGUUUGAUGGAAAUGGUAGACAUGAGAGCUUUAAAAGUUCUUGCUUUUAAAUGGCGUGCAAGUUCAAUUCUUGCAACAGGCA